GGGGAGCAGAGCAUUUGUGAGAUUUUGAGCUUUAACUGCGCUGAGAGCUCAGUCUGGAUUGCAAAACGAUCUGAAGUGUAAAGCAAAACGAUCAUCAGUUAUGUCAAUGGAAAUUUACAUUGAUGCCAGCAGUG